UCUAGCCACGAUUUCCGGUUCCCGCCAUUUCGCGCCGGCGUCGUGGGUGUGUGGAUGCAACGUAGUGCUCCCGGUUUUAUUUUGUUUAAGCGACCUUUUCUGAAGUGUCAACCAAGGAUCAAACACUGGUCGUUGCGGGGAUCGGCUUCAGAGGGCCAAGGAAUGUCUUGAAUCGCUGUUCAGUCGACAGGCAACUGUAUGACAACGCCAUCCCUGUCAACCAGAGCGUCGACCGAAGUAGGGUGGCGUUGCGCGGACCUGGCCGCACCCGACCAACCGGCGGAGUACCUGACUCGGGCUGGGCGGAGACUACCUACAUCACGACCUUUUGAACUUUGAUCUCGUGGCGAGAAACAAUAUGACUUAAGGAAGUGUGUAUGUGGCUGGCGGGGCCGAGGGUGAAAUGCGCCACGUGUUUAUCCUGCCGGAUGACGACAGUGUCACCAACCUGUCAAAGAACGAGCUGGUGCAGCGCGUGAUGACUGCUAUCUCGUCCCUAGAACCGGAGUAGAAAAACGUGCGCAUAGCCCAGAUGAAGCGAACCAAAACACAGACAGGACUGAUAGCGUUUCGGUCGAGAAUGUUCUGAAGAUGCUGAUCAGUAGACCAAUUGGUGACCGUUUUCGGUGGUAAUAUGGGAUCUUGGGGACUGGGGUGUUCCAAAGCGACCUGCUUUGGGUGUGGACAUAAGUGGCUCAACCUGACAGGAUUGAUGUUUUAGGUAGCCGUGCUAAUCAUAAACCCUAUAUUGAGUGUAUCUGUACAAAUUUUGUUUAUAUUUAUUUCAUGUAUUUGAUUCGAAACCGAAAAUUGCUCUUUGUAAUUAGGCAACAUCGAGACGUUGAGGUCAUUCUCCAGACGUUUAUUUGUUUUUUUCUUACCUGUCCACGGUAUGUCUUAUUGGUUAGGUCUCAGUUUCAAAUAUUAUUAACUGCAUGUUUUGCAAAUACGUAGCUAUAUUGAAUUAGAGACGUGUCCUAAAAGUGAGUAUUGCUUUGCAUGGGGUGUGAGCGUCAACGACAAGGCUUUGUGAUGGUAAAUGUGUGGCAAUUGCAGGGAUCGUUGUGAAAUGUGUUAUGAAUAUCAUCGUAUUAUUUGCGAAUGCAAAUACAUCCGUGUAUCAUAUUUUCA
rnacentral:lncRNA from 1 species